UUUAGGCAACAGAGAACACUCAGAGAAACUGAGGCAUGACUGUUAAACCAACAAAACGCGAAGUGCUAGUGCUGACUUAGAUAAGAGUGAAUGUUUCCUUUGGCUCCAGUGCAAGGCAAACACAAGGAGAGCCACCCAUUCUGCUAACACAGACAAAGGAGAGAUGAGACAAGAAUGAGGGCAUCUUUAGAUUACAAAGAAAGCCAUCCUUGUAAGUCACUUCAGGAUUGGAUCACCGCAUAGAACACCACGUAUUUCUGCAAAGGAGCAAAUCAGAGGAGAACACGGUGUCUCCUCACCAAGCUUCUGAGAGAUUUUAUCCUUUAACACAAGGAUUAACUUGCACUGAAGCUGAAGAGGCCAAAAGAAUUCUGAAUUAGAAGAAUUCCAAAGACAUUUGAGAGGCACACAGAACAGCACAUUGUUUUGGAAUAUAUUGGUUUUGGCUCAAGUGCAGUCCAACAUACUUUCUCAUUCAAUAAGACAUCUCAUGGGAUCAUGGCUUUUCAUCCAGAACUGUAAAAGGUAGUUAUCUGGCCUGAAAGCAACGGUCCAGGCUGUCUCUCCAGUCCAAAGAAGAGUAAGAAAGAAGACAAAGGAAAAGGAAAACUGGCAGUGAAUCUGUAAGACAAUACUUUUAAAUCUGAUAUCUGGAAGUAUUGCCUUUUCUGGGGAUAGAACCAAAGAACUGUGGAUACCUGAACCUGGUGUCGUAAAAGGAGUAUAAAGGCAAGACAUUCAAC
rnacentral:lncRNA from 1 species